rnacentral:lncRNA from 1 species
GCUACUUGAUUGAUUUCACGGGCGCGGGCUCUGCACUCACUCAUUCCCCAGACCUGAGACUCACAGAAGCUCUUGGCCUUCUUCAGUGCAUCCUGAACUUUGGAAUAGAGCGCCAGGGCUGCUGGGGGCUUCUGGCUUCAGACCCCUUGGUCUGCGCUGUUCAAGGCCAGAGUCUUAGUAAGAAACACCUGGCCAGGGUGAGGAUCUCAGGUAACAAUCAGAAUCAUUCAGGGAACCAUCCAGAAAAGGGGAGCUAUGGCUCAGCUGCGAGACACCCCCCAGAGGUCUCACUGCAAAGGUGAGGUGUGGCCAGAAGGGGCCGGGCUGGGGAUAGGACCCGGAAGGGUGUCUUCUCCGCCCUAGCCCUUUCCUUCUCGCUCUGCUUCUCGCUGGCUGCCACCUUCCUUCCACCAUGUGUUUCUGCCCUAAAGUCUGCCACCUCUGGACUGAAUCCACUGGAAAUUGGGCAGCUUAUAAACAGGCAUGAAUGGAGCACAGCCUGCUGAAGGAGCCUCACUGCCAAGACAAAGUGGGCAGAGUGUUGCUGUGUGACCCUGUCUUAGCCAGCUUUUUGUUACUGAGACACAGUACCCGACAGCCACAACUUUAAAAGGGGGCAGGUUUACUUGGGCUGUGGUCAGUGACCCUGAGGCACAAAUGGUGUGGCAGAAGGGCCUGGGUGGAGAAGGAGAGGAGAGAACCAAGAAGGGAGUCACGGAGGCAGGGCCACCCGUCCAGGUCACACCCUGGGGACCUGCCAGCACAUCAGGCAUGGUGUCCUGUGCUCCGAUCGCCUUCCCGAGCCCUGUCUUGGAGUGGGUCAGGCUGCGGGGAUGACAUCUAGAUGUAAACCAUGGCAUCUGUGAGGAAAUGUCUUCAGUGGGCUGGUGGCAUCUGACCGGACGAGGUAUAACGGCACCGAGUGCCCAUGCUGUUUGCCAUAUCCUGUUACUAAGGGCACCAAGCUGCAGGGCCCAGGCUGUCCCAGGGCAGUUUGCACUUACGGAAGUGGCUCCGGUUUACUCAAAAUUAAGUGGGCUGAGAGCCUGUGACAAAGAAUAACCAAUUGAAAACAACAGUAAAAAAUAAAGUUUCCGGCAAACUUUAUGUGCCUUUCAGCCAUUUUUUAAACUUCCCAUGUUUUCUUAUUUAAAGUAUGAGGAUGAAUGGAAAUAUUUAUGAAUCCUAGGGCAGUUUUCUAAAUUUGAUAUGUUUCUUAGAAUUUUUCCAGAUUAGGGAAUAUUUUCCCAAAUUUGUUUAAAUCACACUUAUUCUCCUUGGC